UACGAAGGGGGCUAGCGUUGCUCGGAAUGACUGGGCGUAAAGGGCGCGUAGGCGGAUGGCACAGUCAGAUGUGAAAUUCCCCGGGCUUAACCUGGGGGCUGCAUUUGAUACGUGUGAUCUAGAGUGAGGAAGAGGGUCGUGGAAUUCCCAGUGUAGAGGUGAAAUCGUAGAUAUUGGGAAGAACACCGGUGGCGAAGGCGGCGACCUGGUCCUUGACUGACGCUGAGGCGCGAAAGCGUGGGGAGCAAACAGG
rnacentral:rRNA from 1 species